GCUCCCCAGGAAGCCCUGGGUCCCCCCUUUGUCCCUUCUCAAGACGGAGGUUAACGCAGCCGCUGUCUCCUGGAGGCCCCCUUUCACCUUGGAAGGAACAUGUGCAAGAUUUCAACCCACAACCUGCUGAGGAAAGGAAUCUCUGGCGGGUGGUGACUGCUGGAUGAGGCUGCCCUCCCAGAAGUGAACACAGCACAAAGUGACUCUGCCUUCUCUGCCCUUGGGGAUAUCCACAAUGUCAAGUUAAAGCCUGUCCUCAACCUUCUGUGUUCCAAUCCAUUAUGUCAACAGCCCAACUGGCAACAACACUGACUUUUUGCUACCAGGCAACAUUCCAUAGGUUGUCUUGGGAAAAGGGGUUAAGGAGAGAGCACUAGGAGGAUUUCUCCAUGACCACAGACUGCCAGUAUGAAACAUGUUCACACAGACAUGGGAAGGAACAACAUAUUCCUCACCUUCCAAACUCAUAAGAGUGCUACUUUUUCUUGGGACACCCAUCAGAUAUUGUAGAAGAAGAUUUCAUAUCUUGGAUUUCCCAGAGAAAAUAUUCUGUGAAUACCAGGGCAA